AAAAAAAAAAAAGCCAGUGGGGCUAGUAUAACAGGAGCAGAGGGAAAAGAAAUACCAUCGGGCAGUUCACGCAGGGCUCAUUGCCAAGGAUUUAUGUCAGACUUGUGCUGUAAGAAGAUUACUCUGGCUACUGUAUGGAAAAUUAAGAUGGGGUGGCAUGUUGCAAGAGUGGAAGCAGGCAGGCCAGCUAGAAGACUACUGUAAUAAUCCAGCUAAGAUGAUAUUGGCUUGGAUCAAGGGUCCUGAUGCAGUUGGCAGAAGCAGUCAGCUCCUGGAUAUAUUUAGAAAGGAGAGCCGAUUGGAUGUGUGGAGGAGUGGGUUUGAGGAGGAAGAUCCAGAGUUCUGCUGAGGACAUUUUAAGUUGAAGAUGCUUAGUUUAUAUCCAUGCCCUGCCAUGCAGGCAGAUGUAAAUCAGGAGCUCAGGGACAAAGUUGAGACUAAGAAUGGGAGGUGUCGAUGCAGAGAAGGUACUUAAAGUUUUGGUUGAAUUCCAGGGUGUAUAAGUUGUUAGGGAAGUUAGCGUGCUUGUUCUUGAGUUGCUGGAAAGGCAUAUAAAUGACACAAAUACAUGGCCACAAUAUGUAUUUUCUCAAUAAUAUUUGGGGAAAUGUUCUGGGCAUCAGGUUUCCCGUCUAACUUUCCCUGUAGGAAACGGAUAGUCAUUGAAGUAAUUUUGAUUUGGGUGAGUUGUUACACGGAUAGCGAAGUUGUAAGUUCUCUUGCCACUUUUCUUGUUCUGCACCUUUCGAGAGUCAUUAUGAGAACUGAACACUAGGGGGACCCAGUUUCCUUACUUAUGCAACGGCGGCUGGCCCAGCUGUACGCUACGAUCGCCCUCACUUAGGACACAUGCAAUAUAAACACAAAUCUGAAAACAAGGGCAGCUUCUCUUUUCUCAAUGCAAUGUAUAUUUAUAGCAGUGAUCAUUUUUGCAUGUAACAUGUCUGAAUUCCUUAAAUAGGUCAUUUUAAGUAAUGUGCAUAACCAUUACAAUUUUUCUUUUUUGAGACAGGUUCUCACUCUUUGCCAAGGCUGUGUGCAGUGGUGCCAUCUGGACUCAUUGCAACCUCUGCCCCCUGGGCUCAAGUGAUCUUCCCACCUCAGCCUCUCGAGUAGCUGGGACCACAGGCAUGAGCCACCACACCUGGCUAAUUUUGGUUUCACCAUGUGGCCCAGGCUGGUCUUGAACUCCUGAGCUCAAGCAAUUCACUCACCUUGGCUUCCUGAAGUGCUGGGAUUAUAGGGAUGAGCCACCACACCUGGCCACCGUUUAAAGAUUUAAAGGCAAUGGUUUCUAAACUCUAGUUCCUUGUGAGCCCCAUAUUUGCAAACUUGUGAAAAUAAGGAUCAUGAUUUCUUAUUUUUUAUUAUUAUUAUUAUUUUUGAGAUGGAGUCUCACUCUGUUGCCCAGGCUUGGGUGCAGUGGCGCGAUCUUGACUCACUGCAACCUCCACCUCCCAGGUUCAAGUGAUUCUUCUGCCUCACCCUCCCAAGUAGCUGGGAUUACAGGCGUGCACCAACAUGCCCGGCUAAUUUUUGUAUUUUUAGUAGAGACAGGAUUUCACCAUGUUGGCUGGGCUGGUCUCGAACUCCUGACCUCAAGUGAUCCACCCACCUCGGCCUCUCAAAGUGCUGGGUGGGAUUACAGGUGUGAGCCACCAUGCCCAGCUGAAGGAUCAUGAUGAUUUCUAAUUUACAAUAGUUGAAUUGGAGUAUGGAAAUCUAAAUCUAAUAAAUACCACCUGGUGAUUUGAAUCUGUGCCACAAGAAUGCUGACAUAGAAUCCAUUUUCUAUUUUAUCACCAGGUAUUAAGCAAAGGGAAAGGCAAAUAAAUGCUCAAAAGCUACAUUACAUGCUAUUGGAGUAUAAAAUGUAUAACUUUGUUAAAAGGUUUGGACACAUUUUGUAUUAGUUACGGAUACAUAGGUCUUAAAAGAGUACAUGAUCUUAAUUCUUUUUUUGAGACGGAGUUUCGCUCUUGUUGCCCAGGCUGGAGUGCAAUGGCGCAAUCUCGGCUCACUGCAACCUCCGUCUCCCGGGUUCAAGCAAUUCUCCUGCCUCAGCCUCCCGAGUAGCUGGGAUUAUAGGCAUGUGCCACCACGCCCGCCUAAUUUUGUAUUUUUAGUAGAGACGGGGUUUUUCCAUGUUGGUCAGGCUGGUAUUGAACUCCCGACCUCAGGCGAUCCACCCGCCUCGGCCUCCCAAAGAGCUGGAAUUAUAGGCGUGAGCCACUGCGCCCGGCCCAACUCAUUUUUAUAACUAGAAUAAUUUUAGUUUUGGGGAGAGAAAGUCUACAUAAGGUUUAUACUGAAACUUCUUGAAGUCAACAAUCUUAAAGCAGAAUCUUUUUAAUCAGGAGAAAUGAAAACAUAAUUAACAGCCUGGUGUGGUGGAGGUGGAGGUUGCAGUGAGCCAAGAUCGCACCACUGCACUCCAGCCUGGACAACAAGAGUGAAACUCCAUCUCAGAAAAAAAAAAAGGAAAAAAAAAGAAAACAUAAUUAACAAAUACGUUAGCUAUAAUGCCAAGCACGGUGGCUCACACCUGUAAUCACAGCACUUUGGAAGGCCAUGGUGGGCAGAUCACUUGAGGUCAGGAGUUCAAGACCAGCCUGCCCAACAUGGCAAAAUCCUGUCUCCACUAAAAAUACAAAAAUUAGCUGGGUGUGGUGGUGCAUGCCUGUAAUCCCAGCUACUUGGGAGGCUGAGGCAGGAGAAUUGCUUGAACUCGGGAGGUGGAGGUUGCAGUGAGCCAAGAUCGUGCCACUGCACUCCAGCCGGGGUGACAGAGCAAGACUCUGUCUCAAAACAACAACAACGAAAAAGUGUUAGCUGCUUGAUCUUUCCUAUUUUGGGGCAGUUAUGAUCUAAGAAUUACUUUGACCACAAUGAAUCCUUUCCCAUGAGUCAGGACUGUUAGUUUUCAGAGCUUUGCUUCUGGUGGUACUGAUCUGUGCCAGUGUUACAGAUAUGUGGUGAAGGAGCUAGAAUUUUUUUUUUUUCAGCUUGAGAGCUAAUUGUGUGUGUGUGUGUGUGUGUGUGUGUUUAACAUUUUUAUGUGAUUGAAAAAAUAUAUAUUUCCUGUAUGAAAAUCUUGUGAAAUUCACAUUUCAGUAUCCAUAAAUAAAAUUCCAUUGAAACAUUGCCACAUUCAUUCAUUUAUAUAUUGUCUGUGGCUGCUUUUGACCCUCAAUGGCAGAGUUGACUAGACAGAGGCCUCAUGGCCUGCAAAGCUUUAAAUAUUUACUAUCUGGACCUUUACAGAAAAAGUUUGCCAAACCCUGGCAUGUAGAGUCUGUGCUGUUUACUUACAGGUUGCAACAGUUCUUGGAACGAUUCUGUAACUGGUUGUAGUCUUUAACUAUUUGCCGUUAUGACUUUUGAUAGGCUUACUCUGGCUACCAUGAUAUCAUUUCAUUCAUGUAUUUUUCAUUAAUAAUUAAAUACCAUCGCUGCUUUCAUUCUUAAUUCUUAGAUGAAAACAUGCUUCUUCAUUUGAUUAUAUUGUUUAAUUUUUAUUUCGCUCUCCUGUUAUUCAUUACUUAAUAUUUCCCUUGAAUUAUUUAGUCUUUUUCUAAGGUGCUGUAAUUUGCAUGAAAAACUCAACAUAAAAUAAAAUUGUCCUGCUUUCAAUGACCAGAAAAAAUGAUUUAAAAGUUCAGGCCACACACGAUGGCUCACACCUGUAAUCCGAGCACUUUGAGAGGCCGAGGCAGGUGGAUCACCUGAGGUCAGGAGUUUGAGGCCAGCCUGGCCAACAUGGUGAAACCCCAUCUCUACUAAAAAUACACAAAAUUAGCCAGGCGUGGUGGCGGGCACCUGUAAUCCCAGCUACUCGGGAGGCUCAGGCAGGAGAAUCACUUGAACCUGGGAGGCUGCAGUGAGCUGAGAUUGUGCCAUUGCACUCCAGUCUGGGCAACAAGAGUGAAACUCCAUCUCAAAAAAAAAUACUAGUAAAUAUAAAUAAAUAAAAAGUUCAGUAGACACUUCUUGGGAAACUUUAUGUGUCUCUAGUAGAGUUAAAAGGUUUUGCAGAAGAUAAACGUUAAAAAAUUAUUUAUUUGGAGUGAAUCUUUGGUGAGUUUUUAUAACUUUAAUUGCAUCAAAUACUGAAUGCUGUGAGAGUCAAUAAAAAAAUCUUAUAACAGAAGAAAAUCAGUAUCUUUAAAUAAAAAAGCCAUAAAUGUAUUGCAAAUCUAGAAGUACCAGAAUGUCACUAAUACAGAACAAAUCAGCAAUCUUGUUUUUAUUUUCUUCCAAACAUUUAAAACCUUGAUUAUUGACAUACUGAAAUUGGCAUGCAUUCUCUUUUCAUGCAGGUAACAGAAUAGACAUGGAGCAGAUCCCUCUGAAAUCAGUUAUAAAUAUUAAAUUGUAUUGAACAUUCAUAGUAAAAAUACGUUGUAAAGUGCUGAAGUCAUGUAAGUCUGCAAAACUGCCACAAGCUCAAAGUUCUUCUCAAGCAGUGGCAGAGAUUUGCUAUAUCCACCUUGUUUUAGAUUAUGCCUGUUUUUGACAGACACUGUGUCAUUUCCUCCCCCACCCUCCCCAAAGUUUUAUAGAUUGUCCUAUUUCUAUGGCUGGUAAGAUGCUCUACAAAAUGUAGCAGGUGGUGAUGAACUAUGCCACUUUCAUUUCAGUGCAGAGAAAUAUUCAAGCUUGUGUGUACCUGUAACCAAACUAGGCUUGUUAUGUUUUUCCCCCGAGUUGUCAUAAAUUAACAUUAAUGAUGAGUAAAGAUGGAGCAGCGAGCAUUGACCGUCACCUGCAGGGUGAGAUUGCAGUAAAAUAGGUGAGUAAAAAGUCCACCUAUUAUCCUGACACUUGUCCUCUUUACAGAAAACUGUAACGUGAGCAAUACUAUACAUGUAGUGUGACUCCAAAAAUAAAAAAUAAAACAAACAACAACAACAACAACAAAAAAACAAUGACCAGUUACCCGAUACCUCUGGCAACUUAGAACAAUCAAGUUGUGAGUUAUAGAAGAUGUAAAUUGCAACUUGUAACUCGCUAUAACAUAAAUGUCUCUGUUACCCCCAUGUGAAAUACAGAAAUGCUUCAACAAUUAGAUGGUUUUUUCUUUAAAUCAGAAAUGCUUUAACAGUUCAAUGAAAUAUAAUUCUGAUCAAAGAAGUUCCUCAAGUAUUCUUAGAUGAUAAAACAAAUUAUUUUUGAAAGCUAAGGUGAUUUGCUAUCCGUUAUUUUUUCCCCUUUAAAUAGCACAUGUUGCCCUUAAUCAAAUGGAAGAAUCAUGACAACUUGGCCUUUUAUGAAAGUAUUUUUUACAAGAUAAGACGUAUUCUGUGAGGCAUUUAAAGGACUGCAGAAAGGAGGUAAAAAUGCUGCUUAUGUCUCAGAUUUUAUUUCUUUUGAUUAAUCAUCCUAGAAUAACUUAAUAAUAAAUAGCGGUUUAAAUUAAAGACACUACAGUCACAUAUUUCUGUAUAACUAAAAGCAACAGGAAACACAUUUUUAAAUGCCAUUUUGUAUAUUCUGUACUGAAACACUUCUGGUAAGGACUGGCCAUAAAAAGAAGUGGUAAUCUUCACAUUUAUGAAGUUCAAGUUAUAUAUAUAUAUAUACUUAA